UGAGGCGAACCGGGGGAACUGAAACAUCUAAGUACCCCGAGGAAAAGAAAUCAACCGAGAUUCCCCCAGUAGCGGCGAGCGAACGGGGAGGAGCCCAGAGCCUGAAUCAGCAUGUGUGUUAGUGGAAGCGUCUGGAAAGGCGCGCGAUACAGGGUGACAGCCCCGUACACAAAAGCGCAUGUGCUGUGAGCUCGAUGAGUAGGGCGGGACACGUGGUAUCCUGUCUGAAUAUGGGGGGACCAUCCUCCAAGGCUAAAUACUCCUGACUGACCGAUAGUGAACCAGUACCGUGAGGGAAAGGCGAAAAGAACCCCGGCGAGGGGAGUGAAAAAGAACCUGAAACCGUGUACGUACAAGCAGUGGGAGCACAGGUUUACCUGUGUGACUG
rnacentral:rRNA from 1 species